GAUGAACGCUGGCGGCGUGCCUAAUACAUGCAAGUCGAGCGAACAGACGAGGAGCUUGCUCCUCUGACGUUAGCGGCGGACGGGUGAGUAACACGUGGAUAACCUACCUAUAAGACUGGGAUAACUUCGGGAAACCGGAGCUAAUACCAGAUAAUAUAUUGAACCGCAUGGUUCAAUAGUGAAAGACGGUUUUGCUGUCACUUAUAGAUGGAUCCGCGCCGAAUUAGCUAGUUGGUAAGGUAACGGCUUACCAAGGCAACGAUGCGUAGCCGACCUGAGAGGGUGUCCGCCCACAUUGGAACUGGGCAACGGUCCAGACUCCUACGGGAGGCAGCAUGAGGGAAUCUUCCGCAAUGGGCGAAAGCCUGACGGAGCAACGCCGCGUGAGUGAUGAGGGUCUUCGGAUCGUAAAACCCUGUUAUUAGGGAAGAACAAAUGUGUAAGUAACUAUGCACGUCUUGACGGUACCUAAGCAGAAAGCCACGGCUAAUUACGU
rnacentral:rRNA from 1 species